rnacentral:rRNA from 1 species
UACGAAGGGGACUAGCGUUGUUCGGAAUUACUGGGCGUAAAGCGUGCGCAGGCGGUUCGUUAUGUCCGAUGUGAAAGCCCCGAGCUUAACUUGGGAAUGGCAUUGGAAACUGGCGGGCUGGAGUGCGGCAGAGGGGGGUGGAAUUCCACGUGUAGCGGUGAAAUGCGCAGAUAUCCGGAGGAACACCGGUGGCGAAGGCGGCUUCCUGGACCGCCACUGACGCUGAGGCGCGAAAGCUAGGGGAGCAAACGGG